GUAGUUCGGAAUUACUGGGCUUAAAGAGUUCGUAGGUGGUUGAAAAAGUUGGUGGUGAAAUCCCAGAGCUUAACUCUGGAACUGCCAUCAAAACUUUUCAGCUAGAGUAUGAUAGAGGAAAGCAGAAUUUCUAGUGUAGAGGUGAAAUUCGUAGAUAUUAGAAAGAAUACCAAUUGCGAAGGCAGCUUUCUGGAUCAUUACUGACACUGAGGAACGAAAGCAUGGGUAGCGAAGAGGAUUAGAUACCCUCGUAGUCCAUGCCGUAAACGAUGUGUGUUAGACGUUGGAAAUUUAUUUUCAGUGUCGCAGCGAAAGCAAUAAACACACCGCCUGGGGAGUACGACCGCAAGGUUAAAACUCAAAUAAAUUGACGGGGACCCGCACAAGCAGUGGAGCAUGUGGUUUAAUUCGACGCAACGCGAAGAACCUUACCAGCGUUUGACAUGGGAAGUGCCGGUUACAGAAUGGUAACCUUCAGUUCGGCUGGCUUCCACACAGGUGCUGCAUGGCU
rnacentral:rRNA from 1 species